UACGGAGGGUGCGAGCGUUGUCCGGAAUCACUGGGCGUAAAGGGCGCGUAGGCGGCUUUUUAAGGGUGCGGUGAAAGCCCGGGGCUUAACCCCGGGUCGGCCGUGCCGACUGAAAAGCUGGAGCACUGUAGAGGCAGGUGGAAUUCCAGGUGUAGCGGUGAAAUGCGUAGAUAUCUGGAGGAACACCGGUGGCGAAGGCGGCCAUCUGGACGGUAACUGACGCUGAGACGCGAAAGCGUGGGUAGCAAACAGG
rnacentral:rRNA from 1 species